UUUUGUCUUAUGGAAAUGUUAACAUCCUGUACUCAUAUGUUUGAAUUUUGAAUGACCUGUGUUUAUCUGGUAGAAGGAUAAAUGUAUGUAAAAUCUUGAGGGAAGAAUAAUGACUCUGUUUUCACUGUAGGGAAGGUUAAAGCCCUAUUUUCUGCAGACCAGAAGACAUUACCUUGAAGUCCCCUUUGAGAAAAGGAAUGCCAUGUUGUCAAGGGAAUGGUGAAGCCUAUUUUAUCACUGAUUGAAGGACAUUCUUCUUUUAGAAAAUUUGAAUUCCCUCUCAACAUAAAGCUAAAUGUGAACACCAUGCCCACUAAGUAUGAAGAAGUAUCACCUAGAGCUUAGGUAAAAGCCAAAUGCCUUCUCUUCUGACAGAGGAGUGAAUGUCAGGUUGCGAUGUGAGAAUAUGGUGAAGGGAAUGUUCUAAUGUGAAGAUAGCAAGAAGGUCCUGUUCUCUCAAGAAGGAAGAGUUAAUGCAGAUUUCUUGAGUGAUGGCAGAAUGAAUACUUUGUCCUCUGCAUAUCAAAGUUAGAACAUACUGUACACAUCUGACAUAAUGGUGAUUGGUGUGCUGUCAUGUAAGGUCUGGGUGACUGCAGGGCCCUCACAUCACAAUAGGGUGAAGGUCUUGUUAUGUGAUGGAAGGAUAAAAAUCCUGUCCUUACGAUGGACGCUCGGAUGUGGUGCCCUCAUUUUUGGGAAAGUGAAUGGCGAGCCUGCACCUGUCCUCUGCUGGAGGAUGGAAGAACACAUUAUUCUCACAUGGGUAGAAGAUUCUAUCAUCCCUGGCAGGAAGGCUGGAUACACUGUUCUCUGUGGAGAGAGGCAUUCUCAUGACCUAUCUUGAGAGAUAGUGAAUGUCAUUUCCUACCCUCAUGGAAUGGUGAAGUCUGUUUCCUCACUGGCAAUAAGGUCAACUCUGCAUCAUCAUGUGAGAGAAUUUGAAUGUCUUGUGCUCACAAAGGAAAGUGUAAACCCAGUGUCCACUACAGACUGAAGAAUUAUCAAGCAAUAUUAAUUAAAGAAAGCAAAAGACCGACUCCUCAUUUGACAGAAAUAUAAAGGCCAUUUUGUAAUGUGAGAAUAUGGUGACAGGAGUAUCCUCUUGUGAAGAUGGCCUUAAAAUUCCUGUUUCCUCGUGAUGGAAGGGUGAAUGCAGAGUCCUCAUGUAAUGAUGUGAUGAAUCUUCUGUUCUCUCCUAAUUGAAGUUUGAACACUCUGUGCACUGCUGAGGGGACAGUGAUUGAUGUGUUGUCCUAUGAGGGCUGGGUGAAUGCAGGUUCCUCACAUCAGAGUAGGGUGAAGGUCCUGUUAUCAUGUGAUGGAAGGAUGAAUGCCUUGUCCUCAGCCAUGUUGAGAAGUACCCUGUCACCUCACAUGGAGGAAGUCUGAACGUGGUAUCCUCAAUGAAUGGGAAGGUGAAUGGUCUCUUUGGAGCUGAUGGAAGAGGGAAAUUCCUUUCCUCAAUUGAAGGAAGCAUGAACACAUUUUCCUCACAUGUUGAAAGGGUAGAUUGUUCUCAGCUGAUGAAUGGGGAAUGUGCUUCCUUCCUUGAGAGAAGAGUUGGAAGCCUCAUUUGUUAUGUAACAGGAUGAAGGUCUUGUCCUCUCAUGGUGACAGGGAGAAGAUCAUGUCUUCAUGUGCUGGCAUGGUCAGUGUCCUGUACUCAGCAAAUGAAAGGUAGCAUGGUUUCCUGAGUUAUAAGGUUAGAGUGUAUGACAUUUUGUCCUGUGAUGAUAGUGUUAAUGCCCUUUCAUCACAUGAUGGACAUUUGAAUGUCAUGUGUUUAUUUGGUGGAACACUAGAUGUACUUUACAAUCCCAGGGAAAGAGUAAAUGCUCUGUCCUUGUAAGACUGAAUGUGCUAUUCUUUGCAGAUUAAAGGACAUUGAUUGGAAUUCUCCUUUGAGAUAGUAAAUGCCUUCUCCUCACUAAUUAAGAAUGAUGCCUUUUAUCACUGGACAGAAGGGCAACCAUGGCAUUCUCAUUUUAGAGAAUUUGAAUGCCUUCUCCACUCUGAGGGAAGUGUUAAUGUCCAUUUGUCCACUUGUGACUGAAAAUUAUCACCCAGUAAUCACCUGAAGAAGGCCUUGUGCCUUCUGCUUCUCUGAGUUCAGGGUGAAGGGUGAAGACCAUAUUACAGUGUGAGAAUAUGGUGAAGGGAAUGCCUUCAUGUGAAGAUGCAGUUCUUGUUCUCAUGUGAUGGAAGGGUGGAUGGAGUGUCUGCAGGUAAUGGUUAAAGGUGAGUAUUAUUUUAUCCUGUUGGAAGUUUGAGCAGCCUCUGCCCUUGUGAUUGAAGGAUGAUUGAUAUGUAUCAUGUUAUGCCUGGGUGAAUGCAGGUUCCUCACAUCACAAUAGGGUGAAGGUCUUGUUGUCAUGUGAUGGAGGGAUGAAUGAGUUGUCCUCAGCCAUGGAGAGGUGAACUCUGUUACCUGAAAUGUUGGAAGUUUGAAUGUGGUGUCCUCAUUGAAUAGGAACAUGAAUGUCUUUUCUGUACCUGAGGAAUGAGGGAAUCUCCUGUAUUCAACUGAUGGAUGCAUGAACACCUUUUUUAAAAAAAAGAUUUAUUUUAUUUACUUGAAAAACAGAGAGAGGUAGAGUGAGAGUGAGAGUGAGAGAGUGAGAGCGAGAGCGAGAGCGAGAGAGAGAGAGUCUUCAUUCUGCUGGCUCACUCCCCAAAUGACCACAGUGGCCAGAGCUGAACUGAUCUGAAGUCAGGAGUCAGGAGCUUCUUCUGGGUCUCCCACGUGGGUGCAAAGGCCCAAGGACUUGGUCCAUCUUCUACUGUUUCCCGGGCCAUAGCAGAGAGCUAUAUCACAUGUGGAAUGGCUGGGCCUCGAGCCAACGCCCAUAUGAGAUGCCUGCACCAUAGGCCAGACUUUAACUCUCUGAGCCACAGUGCCAGUACUGUGUGAGCACCUUUUCCUUACCUAGUUGAAGCGUGGACUCCCUGUUCUCAGCUUAUGGAAGGGGAAUGGCCUUCUUCUUCUGAGGGAAGAUGGACACAUCAUUUUUGGUGUCAGUAGAGUCAAAGCCAUGUCUUCACAUGGAGAUAGGUGAAGAUCAGGUUUUCACAUGUUGAAUGUCGGAUGCCCCAUCCUCUACAUGGGAAAAGGAGGAUGGCUUCUUCACCUAUCAGCAAAGAGUAAGUGCCAUUUUAUCUCGUGAUUGUGAUGUGAAUGCCUAGUCCUCACCUGAUGAAUGUGUGAAUGCCCUGUUUAACUGUUGGGGUGAUAGAUGUAUUUCACAAUCCUGAAGGAAGAGUAAAGGCUCUGUCUUUGCUGGAUGGAAGGCUGAGUGUCCUAUUCAUGAUUUAUGGGAGUUCACUUAUUUGAACUCUUCUGUGAGAUACAAAAUGCCUUCUCAUCACCUAAUAGAAGGGUGACAUCUGAGUCUUGUCAGGACAGAAGGGCAAACAUGUUCUGUUCCUAUAGAAUUUCAGUACCCUUUACCUAUAAUGAAAGUGGGAGCCAAAUGUUCACUACUGACUGAAGAAUUAUCACCCAGCACCCAACUGAAAAAGCCACAUGUUUUUAGUUCAUAUGAGAGUUAAAGUCCAUUUUUUCUUAUCCAAUUAAAAUUUAUUUUUUAGCAAAAUUUAUAUGUUAUACAAGUUUCCUGUAUUCCACAAUACAGCUUUAGAGAAGGCAAUGUUUUAAUGAAAGACAGGUGCAUGGUGUGUCCUCAUGUGAAGAUAGCAAGAAAGUCUUCUAAGCAGGAUCCUUAGUAAUGUAAGUGAAUGCUGUAUCCUUUCCAAGUAAAAGACUAUGCACUCUGUGCAUAUCCCGUGGGAGUGUGAUUGAAGUGUUGUCAUGUAUGUUCUGGGAGAGUGCAGGGUCCUCACAUCACAAUAGGGUGAAGGUCAUGUGAUGGAUAUGUGGAUGCCCUGUCCCCUGCUAUCUAGAGGUGAAGGCUGUCAUCUCACAUAUCUGACCUUUGAAUUUGGUGUCCUCAUUGGAUGGCCUGUCUUCACCUGAUGGAAUAGGAAGGUCCUGCCCUCAAACUGAGGAAGGUGAAGGACCUGAUGGAAGAGUGAAGAUCUGAUUGUUAGCAGGAACAUGAAUGCAGUUUCUACAGCUCAUGGGAGAGUGAACUCUGUGGACUCAGCUGAUGGAAGGGAGAAGUCUGACCUCGCUGGAGAGAAGAGCAAAUGCCUUGUUCAAAGCUUACAGAAUUUGAAUGCCUUCUCAUGGAGGGCUGUGGGAGCAUCCUGUCCUCCACUGAAUGAAAGAUUGUUAUCAGUGUUCACUGGAUGGAACUGUGAAUACCUGCUUAACAGAUGGCAUGUUGAAGGCCAUGUCCCUAUGGAGCAGUAAGGUGAACAAGGCAAAACCUAUGUCCUCACCUGGCAGAAAAGUGAAUGUGCUCUCCUGAUAUUACUAAAGGAGAUUGCAUUGUCCACAUCUGAUGGAACUGUGGAUGCCAUAUCUUCAUGUGAAGGGGACAAAAUGGUGAAUUCUGUUUGUGGGACAGAAGCAGGAAGGCUGUGACCUCACUCAUUGGAUUGGAAAAGGACACGAGGAACCAGGGAAAACCACAAGAAUUGCUGACCAAGCAUCUAGGCCUGAUACAAGAGUUCCUGGGGUUCAGGCCUCACCCAACUCCUCAGAGGCACAAGCCGCUGUCAAGAGGACAGGUGGACCUCCCUGUUACUCCAAUCUUCAGGAGUCACCCUGGGGCUCAGUUCCUGGCCCCUCAUGAUGGAAACUGCUGAAUCCAAAAUAUUUGAGGUCACAUCAGGGCAGGAGGAAGGCAGUGACAAAGAAGGCUCCCUAGAGUCCUGGCCCUGGCCUCUCACGGUGCACCUCAAAGACUGUGUCCAUCCUGUAGCUCACAGAUCCACAUCAGCUCAGGCAUGUUCCAGCUCCAUCACAAGUUCCUCUUCUGAAGCUCACAGAACCCUGCAGGCUGGAAACUUCUGUUCCCCAGAGAGUAGCAUCCACUAGAGACAUGUCCUCUUCCAUGUCUGUCCCAGUUCCGCUGCAACUGGGCCUCAACUUGUGUAGUGUCUACCUGAAGACAGGACCAAAGUCAUAUCACCUACUGUGGCCCUUGCAGUCUAAACCCUUCUGGCACAGUGACAGGUACAGGUGCCAGGCAUGUGCAGGGAGAACUUCCCGUCUCCCCACUUCCUGGUAGCCUGUGUGUGGGCCUCCUCCUCCUCCAUGGUGCAGGUUGUCAUGUUUGCUGCUGGAGCUUGGCACCCCAUCCACAGCCCAGGCAGGUCAGCAGCAUGCUUCCCUGCCUCCUAUCUAGGUAGAGCUCACAGAACACAUCUCAGGGGUACAGUUCCCUGACCCUGAUGGGAUCAACCCAGCCUCAUCUGUUGCUGGAAGACUGGAUCGCCAUGAGUCCCCCACAAGGGUGUGAGCACCAGGCCACUGAAUGUCUUGUGUGCCUGGCCUGGCCUGUGUGUGAAUUCAGUACCAGCUGUUCCUGUUGGAGCAGAUCCUGGCUCCCUGGGGUUGCAUGUGCAUGAAAAUACCAGCUCAUUGCCUGGGCAGCCGUGAGAACAUGGAACAGCAGUACACUUCAGUUUGGCUACCUCAGAGCCACACAGGGGGUACUUCUUGCCUCCUUCUUGCCUUGUUAGUUAAAGAGCAAUAAAGUGUUUGCUUUAAUAUGCUUUGGUCCAUUCUUGGGGCACACAGAGCCUGAGGUUAGUUCCAUUCUUGGGGCACACAGAACCUGAGGAACAGUGGUUCCUUGUGGUUCUCCUUUGGGGUGACAGGUGCUGCAUCUUCCACCUUCAGUCAGAGGUCCAGGUCCCAAACAUUUAAUACCUUUUGGGUUACCAAGCCACUAGGGGCCAGGGCUGUGUUGAGUGGUAACAAAGUCUGAGGUGCAUGGGCAUUGGGACAGUUCAUGAGAUUCUGUGGAACACACAUGUUAGGGUCUGGAGUGACCACUUUGCACCUUCUAGGCUGGCCAGCUUCAGUGUCCACUCCUCUGUGGUUCUGUCUCAUUGUGGCUCUCAGAAUCCAGCCCUUCUUCUUCUUCUUCUGCUUCUUCUGCUUCUUCUGCUUCUGCUGCUUCUGCUGCUUCUUCUCCUUCUCCUUCUGCUUCUUCUGCUUCUGCUUCUUCUGCUUCAGCUUCCAAGGAUGCCAUAAACAAGAGUGUCAAUUUGUUAAGUCAACAACAGGAGUCACUGUGCACUUACUCCUCAUGUAGGAUCUCUGUCCUUAAUGUGGUGUUCAAUGUGAAUUAAUGCUAUAACUAGUACUCAGACAGUAUCUUACACUCUAUUUCAGUGUGGGUGCAAGCUAUUGAAAUCUUUACUUAAUAUAUACUAAAUUGAUCUCCUGUAUGUAAAGAGAAUUGAAAAUGAAACUUGAUGUGAAUGGAAUGGAAGAGGGAGUGGGAGAUGGAGGGUUUGCAGG